rnacentral:rRNA from 1 species
GGCUUAACACAUGCAAGUCGAACGCUCGUAGCAAUACGGGAGUGGCAGACGGGUGAGUAACGCGUGGGAACAUACCCUCCGGUUCGGAAUAGCUCAGGGAAACUUGGAUUAAUACCGGAUACGGCUGAGAGGCGAAAGAUUUAUCGCCGGAGGAUUGGCCCGCGUUCGAUUAGCUUGUUGGUGAGGUAACGGCUCACCAAGGCGAUGAUCGAUAGCUGGUCUGAGAGGAUGAUCAGCCACAUUGGGACUGAGACACGGCCCAAACUCCUACGGGAGGCAGCAGUGGGGAAUAUUGGACAAUGGGCGCAAGCCUGAUCCAGCCAUGCCGCGUGAGUGAUGACGGCCUUAGGGUUGUAAAGCUCUUUCGCUCGGGACGAUAAUGACGGUACCGAGAUAAGAAGCCCCGGCUAACUUCGUGCCAGCAGCCGCGGUAAU